UACGAAGGACCCGAGCGUUAUCCGGAUUUAUUGGGUUUAAAGGGUGCGUAGGCGGACUUAUAAGUCAGUGGUGAAAUCUCCCAGCUUAACUGGGAAACUGCCAUUGAAACUAUUUGUCUUGAGUACAUUUGAGGCGGGCGGAAUGUGUCAUGUAGAGGUGAAAUUCUUAGAUAUGACACAGAACACCAAUUGCGAAGGCAGCUCGCUAAACUGUAACUGACGCUGAGGCACGAAAGCGUGGGGAUCAAACAGG
rnacentral:rRNA from 1 species